rnacentral:rRNA from 1 species
UACGGAGGGGGCUAGCGUUGUUCGGAAUUACUGGGCGUAAAGCGCACGUAGGCGGCUUUGCAAGUUAGAGGUGAAAGCCCGGGGCUCAACUCCGGAAUUGCCUUUAAAACUGCAUCGCUAGAAUUGUGGAGAGGUAAGUGGAAUUCCGAGUGUAGAGGUGAAAUUCGUAGAUAUUCGGAAGAACACCAGUGGCGUAGGCGACUUACUGGACACAUAUUGACGCUGAGGUGCGAAAGCGUGGGGAGCAAACAGG